UUCAGAAAACAAUAGCGCUGGCUAGUGUAGGAUAAGGAUACACGGCUUGGUCCUCUCUGGUCUAGACAUCACAUCAUUAGCCAAGUCAGCUAGUAAGCUGUUUAUUUUUUUGACAAAAUGUCAACCACGACCGGCGGCGGAGAGUUUGGCAACCCCUUACGAAAGUUCAAGCUCGUCUUUCUGGGCGAACAGAGUGUUGGGAAAACCUCACUCAUCACCAGGUUUAUGUAUGACAGUUUUGACAACACUUACCAGGCAACAAUUGGUAUUGACUUUUUGUCAAAAACUAUGUAUCUGGAAGAUCGCACGGUCCGGCUCCAGCUUUGGGACACUGCUGGACAGGAGCGUUUUCGUAGCCUAAUUCCCAGCUACAUCCGUGACUCUACCAUUGCUGUGGUUGUUUAUGACAUCACCAAUCUUAAUUCUUUCCAGCAAACCUCAAAGUGGAUUGAUGAUGUUAGAACAGAGAGAGGAAGUGAUGUCAUUAUCAUGCUCGUCGGGAACAAAACAGACUUAGCGGAUAAAAGGCAAGUUUCUGUUGAGGCGGCAGAGAGGAAAGCUCGUGAGCUCAAUGUGAUGUACAUAGAGACCAGUGCCAAGGCUGGCUAUAACGUCAAACAGACAGAUCACCACGGAGGAGGGCGAGCAGAGAGCUAAGGAACUGAAUGUCAUGUUCAUUGAAACCAGCGCAAAGACUGGCUACAAUGUCAAACAGCUGUUCCGACGCGUUGCUGCUGCAUUGCCUGGGAUGGAUAGCACACCAGAGAAAAGCAAAGAGGACAUGAUCGACAUCAAAUUGGAGAAACAGCCGGAGAUGACUGUAACUGAGAGCAGCUGCUCAUGCUAGUACACCUCAGCCCCUGCCAGCCUGUCUCCUCCCCACCAACAGCUUGUCUCUCAGUGGCCACUUUCCUCCACCCUUGGCACACGGCCAUCGGGAUGGAGGACCUGUCUUUUUUUUUAUUCUUUUUUUUUCCCUUUUCAACUCAGUGACUUUUCAGAGUAACCGUGUGGAUGUGCAUUACUGUAUUGAAACAAAUUAUUUGGGGAAAAAAUGGUUCAAAAGUAAACAUUUAAAACAAGGAAUAAGUUAAUUGAUAUGUUCAGAUUUUCAUCCAGUUGCAUGGCAUUAUAUAGGAUUGCAGACUGACAUAGCUAACUGCUCUUGAGUUAUUGCACAGUUUAGAAUCUUAGUGCUGUUACUCUUGUUGUUGUAAAGUAAAACUGCUUGGGAUUAUUUAAAUGACUCUACAAGGUUGAGUUCUCUGCCUAUCCUUUUGUUUUUGUUUCAAAUGGAGAGGUCUGUCUCCUAAACGGCUUAUCAUUUGUCGACUUUGUCUUAUUUUGAGGAAGUAACGACUGGCUCUCAACCAGUGAACUGUUAUCAUUGCAAAACAUUAUAUUACCACAUUAGGCUCAAGUAAACCCUUUUCAUUGUGUCAGUGGAACUACUUAUACCUAACAUGUCUGCGAGCUUACAUUGCCAAAUACAAGUGUAUAAGUGGACCGGAUUAACACAAAUUUGUAUUUAACAGUACUGCAGAAGGAUGUGUAAUAAGGAAAUGGAUAUCCAUUGUAAAAGGGAAACCAGCCCAAACAAAUUAGAAAGCCUACUAACCUAAAAGUUUAUAUGUUGUUGAAUGAGCUCUGCACUGUACUAACAUGUCUGAGGAGGCAUUCUGAGUAGAUGGUCCCCUAAUACUAUGAAAAUCAGUUUUUCCACGUCGAUGGAGAGUUGUCACUUUGGUCACCAUCUCAUCGACGAUUUGUGUUGUGUUGAUUACACUAUUGCAACAACAUGCAGCAUGCUCACCCCGCAGGAUUUCCAUGGAUAAGAACACAGAUGCCUUGCUUGUUUGUUCACCAACGUUGUGCACUGAAUCAAGCCACAAUAUUGUAAAAUAUCAGAGAAGCCUGCUGACUGGUUCAUGGCUUCACUAGUUGUUUGUAGAGCUGGUAGAUAGAUGUCCUCAGAUACAGCUAAAGCUUACUAACACCCUUGCUGUAAAAAAAAGUGCAGACGUUAGUUGCCAUAUCUUUUGCUGUAUUGCUAUUGCCUGUGUAGGACUGUUGGUUUAUUUAUUUUGUAACUUGGACAUACAGCUAACAUUGUACGCGUGACCAAAAGUACAGAUGCCGAUACGCAUGUUUUAAAGUUUUAUUUUAUUUAUUGUUUGCGUGUUUGCUGAGGCGCCACCUACAGGUGACAUUUACGCCUAGUGAGUUUGGGGGGGGGGGGUUGUUUUUUUGCCGGUGUGGUGUGUUGCUUGAUUUACAGUCACAGUUAAAGCCUACACCGUCUCCCAAACCAACUAACCAGCCAUAGCACAACAAAAGACACUGAUCGUUUGCUGUAGCUUUUUUUUUUUUAAAUGUCCAGCGUUUUUAAAAAAUGGAUUUGAAAGUUAAGGUAUUUAAAUUGCAACGCGAACAACCGUUUUAACAUGAGCAGCUCUUCUAUUACUAAAUACUCAGCUUUGUGCUAUUCUGAAUUGUGUCUGUCCAUUUGAAAUAUGUCUACUCGUGUUUAGCAAUGUUUGUGUGAAUACUGUACUAUUACUAUCUUAUGUAUAAAAAGGAGAGUUAAUGACAACAAGUGUAGGCUUAUCACAUGGAGUAAAAUAAAGAUAUUUCACCAAAA